AUUUCAAAUUGUUGAAUAAUUAAUCACAACAAAUCUAGUUCACAGGCAUCGGCAGUGUGGAUUAAUCCUUCACUGCUUUAUUAUAUAAAGACACAUUACAUCUUACUACAAUUGUUACAUUGUAACUCCCCCUUCCCAGGCCCUGUAGAUCAGCUAUACACAAUCAGAGAAUUAGACCAUCCUUUAGCCUUGCAUGUAUUGACUGACAAAUAUAUAUAUAACCCUUAACUGUGCUUUAAAACUAUAUAUAGGCCAUUGUAACCCAAAAAUGCAAACACCCCUUGACUAGAAGAUAUUUAUGCACUGUGUGU